GUUUCAACUGUAUGGCGGAAAUGUUCACGGUAUUUUUGACGAACUCCAACCUGAAAAAAAAUUAACACUUAGAUGGCGUUUGAAAUCUUGGCCUUCAGGACAUUUCUCAAACGUUUCAAUAGAAUUUAAUGAAUUGAAACAUGGGACGCAAAUGAAACUGAAGCAAACAGGAAUACCUGCCGCGGAAUAUGAUACAAUAAAAGCGAACUGGUACCGAUAUUAUUGGCAUAGCAUUAAACAAACAUUUGGGUUCGGUGUACCACUUGCAGACUUGAUAUAAAAUCAUGACUAAAUACAAGAUUGUCGAACUAUCGUAGCACAUAGCUUGAAAACAUUACAAAAUUCGCUCUUAAAAAUAAAGAUAAAGCAGCAAUUUUAAAUCAUA
rnacentral:sRNA from 1 species